UACGUAGGGGGGCAAGCGUUAUCCGGAUUUACUGGGUGUAAAGGGAGUGUAGGUGGUCUGGCAAGUCAGAUGUGAAAGCCCGCGGCUCAACUGCGGGACUGCAUUUGAAACUGUCAGACUGGAGUGCAGGAGAGGAAAGUGGAAUUCCUAGUGUAGCGGUGAAAUGCGUAGAUAUUAGGAAGAACACCAGUGGCGAAGGCGGCUUUCUGGACUGUAACUGACACUGAGGCUCGAAAGCGUGGGGAGCAAACAGG
rnacentral:rRNA from 1 species